rnacentral:misc_RNA from 1 species
UUGGAUUCGAGUACUUAUGGGACGUCAAAACAAUGGCCGCGUGAACCAAGACUGGAAGCAGUUGUAUUAGGAUUAAAUGUUAUCAUGGAGUGAGGAGAGGUGACGGAGCCAUGUACUACCCUCUGGGGCUGCCGAGGCGCCUGCGUGUGCCCGGGGGAGCUGCCCAUGGCCAGGUGAAGGCCAUCGUGUGUAACAGAGACAGGGUCCUCUUCGCCGUCCUCACUGAAAAGUCUAUAUGGAUUUGGUUCAGCCGACCAUGUGUGCCUGUGGUUGUCCACCAGAGGUCAGAAGAAUCUAUCAGCACCAUUGGCACUAACCAGAUGCUGGAAUGGCGCCAUGACUCCUCCAUGAUUGUUGUUGGUACUAAUAAGAAUCGCCUGAUCUUCUACUCCAUUGUGGUGGAUGAGUCUCGGAGAGAGGUGUAUGAGCAAAGGGAUCCCCCCAAUCCCACCCUCAAGCGGGAGUCUGCUGAGCUGUACUCCUGUGAACCUAUUCCACCCUUCAUGUUCUCAACUGCUUUUGAAAGAGAAGUGAGUGGAGGAGUGACAGGACUAGUGUGCUUGAGGGAUGAGCUAAUGGUGGCAACAGGAUCAGGCCAUAUCCAGCGAUUAUGUUGGGAUGGCUCUAUUAACUACAGCUACUGUGUGGAUCUACGGCGUGUACCCUUCUGUGACGAUCAACUGGUAAUGAAGGCUCUGCCCCUUGAUGCCCCGGGUGUGCAUGUGGUGGACCUGGAAUACUCUCCACUGGUGGGUGGCUUUGCUGUGGUUCUCAGCGACGGCAGAGCAGCCUUCCUUACUGCCUCCACCCUCAAGUUUGAUCCUAAUGCGGUGCAAGGUAUCUGGGCACGGGAGCUAGAAGAUGCCACAUGUGCUGCCAUCAACCACAAGUACCGUCUACUGGCCUACGGAAGAGCCAACUCCCAAGGAGUGGUGUACCUUGUGGAUGAAGCAACAGGAGGUCUUGAAGUUUCUCAUAGGAUGAUCCUUUCAGACAGAGACUAUGGAGGCUCACCGGGACCAGUUGGUUUCAUGAAGUGGACACCUGAUGGUACUGUGCUAGGCAUGAGCUGGAUUGGAGGAGGACUAUCUCUUUGGAGUGUGUUUGGUUCCCUGUUGACUGUCUCCCUGCGUUGGGACUACUCACAAGAUCCUCUUUCUCAUGCCAUUACUAUCACAAAUAUGGAAUGGGGAGCAGAAGGCUAUGAGCUCUGGUGUGUACAGGAACAUGAGGGAGGGAAGGAAUCCUGCUGGGGUAAAUCAUCAUUCAUGGAUACUGAGGAUAAGAAAGAAGAGGAGGAAGUCAACACUGGAACAUCAGUCUUGCAGCUUUCCUUUAUCAAGAGUGCUCUCACUGUUAACCCGUGCAUGAGCCGACUGGUGAGGGUUCUCUUGCAGGGCAGUGACCGUCUCUAUCUCAAUACUACUGAGGGCCUCAUGGGAACAUCCUCAAGUACCCCUCAUGAUGCUCUCUCUCUUUACUUUGACGAUGAUGAAGAGGGUGCUUUUGAGGAUCGUGCCAAUACCCAGUUUAAUGUGGCUGCCAACAAGCAGUGGAUUGUUGUGCCUAUACCAUACAAGUACACGUCUUCCAACUGGCCAGUCAGGUAUACAUGUGUGGACGAGGCUGGACAGUUGGUGGGUGUAGCAGGGCGGAAUGGGGUCACCCACUAUUCCUUGCGGUUAAGACGGUGGCACCUGUUUGGCAAUGAGAGCCAGGAGCGAGACUUUGUGGUAACAGGAGGACUGCUGUGGUGGAGGUCAACAUGGCUGGUUCUCGGGGCCUACAACAUCCCUGCUAACACAGAUGAACUGAGGCUGUAUCCACGUGAUCACAAGUUGGACAACUCCUUCCUUACUACUGUUCCUCAACCUGCACAGGUCCUUUUGCUUAAUAUAUAUGGGGACCAGCUGAUUGUGUUGACUGCUGAUUGUCACAUUACUGUGUACAACUUGCAACUCCCUCAGACUGACUCAGGUGGCAGUCCUGGCAGUGUUGUGGUGUCCCGAGUGCAGGAGGUAGACAUCUCUGGUUUGACGGUGCAUCCAGCUUGUGUGGUGUCGGUGCUGCUGACUAGUCUGCGCACUGAGUCAUGGCAGGCCAAUAGUGGACAGCAUAGUCUACUACCUGCCCAAAGUGUGAUCAUCAACAUUUCAGGCAAGGUUCUUAUGAUCCAGAGGGACCAACAACAACCCCUUGGCUCACCCAACAAUGGCAAGCUGUUUCACAGUGCACAGAUGACACCCAUUGUGCUGGCAUCAGGUUGCGAGGCCCUGUGGUGUAGUAGCUGUGCUGUUAGUCAUAAGCCUCACCUUAGCCAUGCCUUGUGGCUUCAUUGUGGAGCGCAUGGCACUCGAGCAUGGUUGCCUUUGUUUCCUAAUUCUUCCGAUAAGUCACACACCUUCAUGGCCCGAAGGAUCAUGUUGCCCUUCACUCCGUCCAUAUAUCCCUUGGCUGUUAUGUUUGAGGAGGGCAUUCUCCUUGGAGCUGAGACUGAUACUUCCUUGCUGGCCUGUGAUGCUGCCUCCCACCAUCAACCCCUCAUGGUAGUGGAGCGAACUAGCCAAGUUUACCUUCAUCACCUCCUGCGACAACUGUUGCGCCGAAACCUAGGAUAUCAUGCAUGGGAGGUGGCUAACACUUGCCGAGAGCUGCCCUACUUCCCUCAUGCUCUUGAACUGCUGCUUCACCAGGUUCUGGAGGAAGAGGCCUCUAGCAAAGAUCCGCUCCCAGACUGCUUAUUGCCCCGAGUUGUUGAGUUCAUCAGAGAGUUUCCGGUGUACCUUCAGACAGUGGUGCAGUGUGCUCGAAAGACUGAAUUAGCGCUCUGGCAUUACCUUUUCUCAGCAGCUGGUAGUCCCAAACAACUCUUCAUAAGGGCACUAGAAGUGGCACAGCUGGACACAGCAGCAUCUUACCUCAUAAUUUUGCAGAACUUGGAGAGUGCUUCUGUGAGUCGCAGCCUUGCCACCCGUCUCCUGGAUGCCACCUUGGAGGCUGGGAAGUGGGAUCUUAGCAAAGACCUAAUUCGUUUCCUGCGCUCUAUAGAUCCAACAGAUCUGGACUCACCAAAGCCCUCGAUACUCUCUUGUGGUAGCACGAAAGUUGGAUUCACUCAUGCCACCCCACCAGUAUCUCCAGCUUGUGUUGAUGAGGAUCUCUCCAUGAUUCUUCCCAACACUCAGAUGUUGUUGAGAAGAAUCCCGUCUGUUCUGGUCAUCCUGCCACAGGUGUUGCGAGGACGUUCCUUCUCAUCAGCUUCAGCCCCAAAAGUGGCUGUGGGUGAAAACGGUCCAACCAACCACCAGUCUGUGGUGAGAACCACCUCUGAUUCAGCCAAAGUUCUUCCUGACAUUACAAGACCAAGCCAAGCUGCAGGUCCCACUCGAAAACGUUCCAGUAGUUCUCUGAGCAGGGAAGUAUCUACUGCUGAAGAGUUCUUCCUUGAUGUAAUCCUUCAGAGACAUGCAAAGAAACUUCUGCUUGGAGGUCGUCUAAGGGAUCUAGGGACAAUGGCUGCCCAUUUGGACUUUCCAUUGGUGUCGUGGCUCAGGAGAGAGCGUAACCGAGCAUCACGUGUCGACGAUUUUGUGGCUUCCCUUAAACAGGUCCACCGGGACUUUUCGUGGCCCUACCCAUCUGUUCCCUCAUCACAGAUUCGCCGCUAUUCAGUGUCAGUGGCAAGGGGCAUGGGCAUCCAAGGGGAGAAGGUUGCUCUGGUAGAAGAAAGGAUGCAUGGCCUCUCCAUCACAGUACCUAAGAUUGCUUCACUGGAUACUGGAGAGAUUGGAGACAGUGGAUAUUUGAGUCAAGCUACUGGAGACACUCACACUGUCACUCCCCAGCAUGGGCCACACUCACCACCAGCCCUACCCUCUCCCAUAGACAUAAUACCCCAUCAAGCACUCCUCCUUCCCCAUUCUCCUGCUGCAGGUGACACAAUAAGUGUGAUGAGUGAGGAGGGAACUGUGUAUGGUGAUGAUACCUCCAGUCUCUGUGGAGACUGGGGAACUGAUGGCAGUGAUCCUACUCGAGAUCUGCUCUCCCGUCCUCCUGACCCCCCACCCCAGCCUACUCCUCGUCCACCUCCUCAUGCUGAGGUACAGUUGAGGUACCUCUUGCAGGUGUUGCUUGAGGCUGGGUGUCUGGAAUGGAGUGUUGUGGUUGCAGUGGUACUACGUGAUGCCCUGGCUGUGUUGCGAGUAGUGACACUGGCCAGGGCACCUGAUGUGCCAGCUCAGGUUAUAAACAGACUUACAGCUGGACUUCAGGACCUUCUGCUCUUCACCACUACUGAAUGCUUGGGCUACCAGAACUUUUUAGGUGCCAUCAUGAGUCAAGUGAAGGUGCUGGAAAGGCUAGCCAGUACAAGGGAGGUGUCCAGGACACCCAGUCCCCCUUCUUCUCGUCCCCCUUCCACUAGUAAGGAGUCAGAGCCUUCACCCUCAAAUGCAGAAGCAUGUGUCAGAACCACUAUACAGACUGCACCUCCUAUAUCCAAUCAGCAACAGGCUGCUCCUCAGCAGUCAUUAAAGCAGCAACAGCAAAAUCAGCAACCUGCACAGUUGUCACAGCAACUCCCUCAGCAACAGUUGCAGCAGCCAACCAUACAAAGAAUGUCAAUAUUGCCCCGCCAAACUUCUGGCACCACUGAGACCUUAGCAGAGGAAACUUUGUCUCAAGCAUCAGAAGAAGAAUUGUUAGUUGAGGAGGAGGAUCCCAUGGCAGUUGAGGAAGGGGGCAGUGCAGCAUGUGUAGUGUCUUAGGCUGUACUGCAAGUUGCAGGUGCAACUAAACUCUAUCUAUGGUGUCCUGUGAGCAUCCUUAAGUGUGACUAUUGAAGAAAUGAUGAUUUAUUUUCCUCAUUGAAUAUCAUUUUGAUGAAGAUGGAUCUGUACAUUGAGUCAAGAAUUGGGAGUCUUGCUCACAACUAACAGUGAUGUGCGUGCGUGCGUGCGUGCAUGUGUGUGUGUGUGUUGCGGAGUCCUGUUAUCUGCAUGGGUGGUCCAGCUGGUGUACGCUUGACGCCGGUGACGUGAUUGGCUGGCGUAUGAUGUUGGAGGCCUUCCUUUCUUUUCGUUUCCCUUUAUCAGACAUCAGUAAAUGUUUUAUGUUAUGAAAUGUGUUUUGUAUUAUACUUAAAAUUAUUUUAUAAAGUGUGACAUAAGUAUUGUGGACUG